GAAAGAAGGAGCAACCAAAGCCAGAGAAAGCCGUGCCCGGCCAAGAGAAUCGCAUCUAAAGAAGCCCUGAGGCAGCAAGGAAAAUUGAACAUCUUGAGACACGGAAUCAACCCAAAUGCCCAUCAAUAAUCGACUAGAUAAAGAAAAUGUGGUACAUAUACACCAUGGAAUACAAUGCAGUUACAAAAAGGAACAAGAUCAUGUCCUUUGCAGGGACAUGGAUGGAGCUGGAAGCCAUUAUCUUCAGCAAACUAACCAGGAACAGAAAACCAAACACUGCAUGUUCUCACUUAUAAGUGAGAGCUGAACAAUGAGAACACAUGGACAAAGGAGGCAAACAACACACACUGGGGCCUGUCAGGGUGUGGGGUGGGGGAAGGGAGAGCAUUAGGAAAAAUAGCUAAUGCAUGCUGGGCUUAAUAACUAGGUGAUGGAUUGAUAGGCACAGCAAGCCACCAUGGCACACGUUCACCUGUGUAACAAACCUGCACAUCCUGCACAUGUACCCCAGAACUUAAAAUUAAAGUUAAAAUUAAUUUUUAAAUGAUAAAUGUGAAAACAACAUACUGCCU
rnacentral:lncRNA from 10 species